UGGGGAAUAUUGGGCAAUGGACGCAAGUCUGACCCAGCAACGCCGCGUGAAGGAAGAAGGCUUUCGGGUUGUAAACUUCUUUGACAGGGGAAGAGUAGAAGACGGUACCCUGAAAACAAGCCACGGCUAACUACGUGCCAGCAGCCGCGGUAAUACGUAGGUGGCAAGCGUUGUCCGGAUUUACUGGGUGUAAAGGGCGUGCAGCCGGGCUGACAAGUCAGAGGUGAAAACCAGGGGCUCAACCUCUGGACUGCAUUUGAAACUGUUGGUCUUGAGUAUCGGAGAGGUAACCGGAAUUCCUAGUGUAGAGGUGAAAUGCGUAGAUAUUAGGAAGAACAUCAGUGGCGAAGGCGGGUUACUGGACGACAACUGACGGUGAGGCGCGAAAGCGUGGGGAGCAAACA
rnacentral:rRNA from 1 species